CCUACGGGUGGCUGCAGUGAGGAAUAUUGGUCAAUGGACGAGAGUCUGAACCAGCCAAGUAGCGUGAAGGAUGACUGCCCUAUGGGUUGUCAACUUCUUUUAUAUGGGAAUAAAAUGUUCCACGUGUGGGAUUUUGUAUGUACCAUAUGAAUAAGACUCGGCUAACUCCGUGCCAGCAGCCGCGGUAAUACGGAGGAUCCGAGCGUUAUCCGGAUUUAUGGGGUUUAAAGGGAGCGUAGGUGGAUUGUUAAGUCCGUUGGGAAAGUGUGCGGCUAAACCGUAAAAUUGCAGUUGAAACUGGCAGUCUUGAGUACAGUAGAGGUGGGCGGAAUUCCUAGUGUAGCGGUGAAAUGCGUAGAUAUUAGGAGGAACACCAGUGGCGAAGGCGGCCUGCUGGACGACAACUGACGGUGAGGCGCGAAAGCGUGGGGAGCAAACAGGAUUAGAUACCCUUGUAGUC
rnacentral:rRNA from 1 species